GAUUGUUUUAAGUAUAGACUAUAGGCCUAUCCUAAAAGUGGAAAGGCAAAGAACUUGUGUGUGGAAAACUAGAUUAACACAAACUAAUUAUUUACCUACAUCACAUUUUUUCUAAAGCCUCCACGUCAAUAUGGGGAUGAAGGUGAACGGCCGUGGAGGGUAAACGCUUACUGCAUGGCAUGGAGUGGGCCUAGGCUAGAGAAUAGAUAUCCUCAUCCACGAGAAAGAACUGUUGCACUGGUUCACUAUCCGCCAUAUGAGGAGCGUCAUUCGAUGCUGCCGCAGUGUGAGCGCAGGAGCUGCAUGCGCACUCAACAAGCCCUAAAAAACGGAGAAAUCUGUGCGAACGCUUUAGAGGCUAAGGACAUUAAUAGUAUAAUGAACAUUUAAUGCUCGUAACAGUAGGCCUAUAGCCAAUACACUUAAAAAACGAUAAUACAAUCAAAUAUAAUCUAAAAUUAUUAGUAUUGUCACCAUCAGCAAUCUUAAUAGGCUAUGUUCGCAAUAUCCGUCAAGUGACACACGGCACGGGACUACUGUACACGCCGCACGCGCUAAAGAGUUCCGUGACACUGAUGAACUGUUCACCAGCAGCAGGAGGAGAGGGAUGAGGGCAGCAUGGAUUACUCCCUCUCCACUGGGUUAAGAUGCUUACCAACUAAUUACCUUUCCAUCUGAAAAUCCCCGGCCACGCAGCCCCAACAGACCGAGUGCUGGGAGAGAUGAAGAGAUAGAGGGACGGGGAGGCCGGUGGUGGAAAGAGGAGAGGAUGGGUGUUUGUGUUUCUUUUUUCAUUUCAGGAUGAGGAUGCUGUCCUUUGGGUGAUGUGGCCUUCGUUCAGGUCUAUUGACGAUUUCUCCCAGAAGCGGGAAGAGGAGCUCUGGGACCCAUUUGGAGCAUCUCAAAAAAUCACUUAGUGCAUCAUUCCACAUGGCUGUGAUCAAUCUUCGAGCUGGGUAGUGGGUCUGCAUGGCACAGAGAUGAAUGUCUGCCCCUUUCUCCAUGUCCCGAUAAGGGAUGUUUGUUGUAACCUGUUUGUUUUAACCCGAUGGACAGAAGGCAUGUGCAACGCAGCCCAUGAGGACAUGGAUAUAAGAAACUUGUUGCAGAUUUUAAGAUUUUAAGUGUUAGUAUUGAAGACAUGGCUAAUGCUGUGUUGAACGACAUGUUGGAACACAUUCUGUUAGAACACAUAUAGAAUAAUUAUUCUCUGUGUAGUGUGGAGUAAGGUCUGGUGUUUUAGUCAUGCAUUUCAUUCAAGCUCUGCCUUUCUGCCCUGUCCAUUCCCCUUUUGUGGAUCAGAAACAAGGUAGAAUAUGUAAGCAAUAAUUUGACUUGAGUUUCUAUCAUAUUUCUCUGACCUAUCCAAGUUCACAGGGGCGGGCGGCCUGUCCAUCUGGCAUUUUGGGUAAUGCCAGAUGGGCUGGUCAAUUUUUAGCCCAGUUGGACUGUCUAACUUGUGCCCCUCAAGGAACAAAAUGGGCUGGUGUGGGGGCCUCAAAGAAAAAACAGAGUGGCUGUGGCUCUGGAUCUUCUGUAACCCGACUUUCUGUUUCUAAAAAUAAUACGUAGAUUUCUGCAUA